rnacentral:rRNA from 1 species
UACGGAGGGGGCUAGCGUUGUUCGGAAUUACUGGGCGUAAAGCGCACGUAGGCGGCUUUGUAAGUUAGAGGUGAAAGCCCAGGGCUUAACCCUGGAAUUGCCUUUAAGACUGCAUCGCUAGAAUCGUGGAGAGGUGAGUGGAAUUCCGAGUGUAGAGGUGAAAUUCGUAGAUAUUCGGAAGAACACCAGUGGCGAAGGCGACUCACUGGACACGUAUUGACGCUGAGGUGCGAAAGUGUGGGAGCAAACAGG